rnacentral:rRNA from 1 species
GACUCACGCGGGAAUCUUACCGGGUCCGGACACACUGAGGAUUGACAGGUUUCGAGAGUUUUUUUGGAGUUCGCUCCAGAAUGCUCUCUUAAAUAUGCUAGUCCUUUCAUGAUUAUGUGAUAGGUGGUGCAUGGCCGUUCUUAGUUCGUGGAGUGAUCUGUCUGCUUAAUUGCGUUUCACUAAAGGCGUCAUUAUAUUUUUGUGCUUGUGUUUGACCCCUCUUUCUUCGGAUUGAGCGCGUGUCUUUCACACACAAUUACUUUGACGUCUGAAAGCAACGAACGUGACCGUAACCUCUUGUUGCCUUCUCUUCUCUUCGGAGAAUGCUAGUUUUUUUCUUCGGAUAAAUUCUAGUAUAUGGAGGCUUUUACUCAAACUAGAGGGACCGCUGUUACUUUCUUUAAACCAGAGGAAGGUUGCGGCAAUAACAGGUCUGUGAUGC